rnacentral:tRNA from 1 species
GGUUCCGUGGUGUAGUGGUUAUCACAUUCUCUUCACACGCGAAAGGUCCCCAGUUCGAUCCUGGGCGGAAUCA